AGUCCUGUAGCUCAGUGGUAAGAGCACUCACCUUGAAAGUGAGAGAACCUGGGUUCGAUUCCCGGUAGGGUGA